rnacentral:rRNA from 1 species
CCUACGGGUGGCAACAGUGGGGAAUAUUGCACAAUGGGGGAAAGCCUGAUGCAGCGACGCCGCGUGAGUGAAGAAGUAUUUCGGUACGUAAAGCUCUAUUAGCAGGGAAGAAAAUGACGGUACGUGACUAAGAAGCUCCGGCUAACUACGGGCCAGCAGCCGCGGUAAUACGUAGGGCGCCAGCGUUAUCCGGAUUUUCUGGGUGUAAAGGGAGCGUAGACGGUUGGGCAAGUCUGAAGUGAAAUCCCAUGGCUUAACCAUGGAACGGCGUUGGAAACUGGGCAGCUUGAGUGCAGGAGAGGUAAGCGGAAUUCCUAGUGUAGCGGUGAAAUGCGUAGAUAUUAGGAGGAACACCAGUGGCGAAGGCGGCUUACUGGACUGUAACUGACGUUGAGGCUCGAAAGCGUGGGGAGCAAACAGGAUUAGAUACCCGGGUAGUC